GACGAACGCUGGCGGCGUGCCUAACACAUGCAAGUCGAACGGAGUAGUCGGGAGCUUGCUUCUGACUGCUUAGUGGCGGACGGGUGAGUAACGCGUGAGUAACCUGCCUUUCAGAGGGGGAUAACGUUUUGAAAAGAACGCUAAUACCGCAUGACAUCGCGAAGCCGCAUGGCUUUUAUGCCAAAGAUUUAUCGCUCAAAGAUGGACUCGCGUCCGAUUAGCCAGUUGGCGGGGUAACGGCCCACCAAAGCGACGAUCGGUAGCCGGACUGAGACACUGCCCAGACGCCUACGGGCGGCUGCAGUCGAGAAUCUUCGGCAAUGGACGAAAGUCUGACCGAGCGACGCCGCGUGUAUGAUGAAGGCUCGGUGUAAGUACUGUCGA
rnacentral:rRNA from 1 species